ACUGUUUCUGGUCUAUCUUAUUCCCCUCCUUAUUAAGAUGCUUUGUACUAUUAUUAAUGCAAACCAAAUCAAACCAAAUCUAUCUAAAUCUAGUGCAUCAGAUUACCCUAGUUGUGGUGUCUUUCAUGCAUCCAUUCAUCAAUCUAGUACAAUUUUCCUCUCUCUGCUUAUUGUAUUUUGAGACUGUCUCAAUAAACCUGAAGUUUGGCAUUACUCAGGAAAGAAAAAAAUUAUUAACAUAUGUACAGUAUUUUGUUACGCUAUACAUUUUAUUUAUUAAAAUACUCUGAAAAACUUGUUGUUUGUACAUAUGAUAUUGCUAUAAUGUAUUUUUUUUUACUUCUGCAUUAUUGAGUCAAUAUAAAAACAUUUUAUAUUUGUUUGUCACUAACAAAAGCAACAUUUUAUCUAACAGACCACAAAUCACAAAAGAAUAAAGGCUGUGGUGGUUUUCAUGCAUGUGCAAAAACCAGUGUCCAGAAGAAAUGCAGCAGAUUUUCAGUUAAAUUCUUUAAACUAUUUGUAAUCAAGGGUUAUCAUGUAAAAAUUUUUUUUUUACUUGUUACUGCACUUUUUUUUUAAAAAAGCUUUUAAUUUUCUACAUCUGCAGCAUUUCAUUUCGUUAAUUUUACAGGCAUUAUUGCUUUACUGCAUGACUUUUACAGUCAAUGGUUUUAAUAACAUUUGGUCAGACAAUUAGAAAGGAAUAAUAAUAAUAAAACAAGAAAAAAACUAACAAGCAAAUCAGUCCUUAGAGCUCCUGUGCCACAUUUUGCUCAUUUUACAUUUGCUUUAGUGAACUGUUUUGGUGAAAAACUAAAAACAGGGAAGUUUACUUUAUAUAGACUUCUUAUUAUGCAGAGGAAAAAAAAAUUUGCACAAAAAAGCCCUGAUUUCUGGAUUAAUAAACUUUUCCAAAGAUAUCUUCUGAAAAUCUGAAAGAUUAGUGAUUAUUUGCAUAUAAGAAGCUCCGAAAUGGAAGCAGGACUGAAGCUGGGAAUGAUUGUUAAAUGUCAUUUUGUCAUUACCAACAUCAAUAUUUUUUUCUUGUUUCCGUUUUGCAUAAAGGAGUGUAUUAUACCAAGCAAAAUCCACAAGAAGAUGCUGUUUGAUGCUGAUCAACACAUAUGAUGACUUCAAAAGACAUUUAUAAUGAAGGUGCUCAGUGACAUGUUGUUGUUUGAUUGUUGAAAUUGCCCUGAAUACAUCCUAAAUGAUCUCGAAAUGCUUUAGGACUUCUACAAAUAACACUGAAUACCCACCAAAAUGAAACCCAGGGAGGCCCUUGUCCAGACCUGUGACGUCUGUUUUCCGACAAGUUGUGCCAAUAGAGACGGGUUAAACGAUUUCCUUUAAGAAACAGAUAAGGAGGAACAGAUAAUAAACAGAUAAAAAGGUAAACCGGAUGCCAUUGUCUGUAUCCACACACUGUAAUCGCACACCUUACUUGCACACUAGGUGCUUUGCAUGCCUUGUGGUUAUUGUGGCGUUGCCUGUGUCGUCCUCCUCCCCCCGCCGGACAGUAAUGGUACAGUCCACUGAGUGGUUUGGACGCGGUUCUCCAGGAGCGGAGCAGGAAUCUGACCUGAACUCUGCAAGACUGUGUGAUGCGUCCGAGUCGCUGCUGAGAUGAAAAUCCGCAAAGAACACAGAAAAGAUCAAGGAAAUGAAAAUGUCCAAAGUUUCUGGCUACAGAUCACCGCUAACCAGCGUCUAAAAACCUGAACAUUUUUACCUACAGGAGGUAAAGACUUGGAGCUCAGAGCGACAGAAGUAAGCUGGUGGAGAUUUGAACUUUUUUUUUUUGCUUUUGCCUGGACGCAGAAAUGAGGGCCGUCCAUGUAGGAGCUGGACACAAGCGUCUUCACGGCGGUUACACAAGAUGCACCUGCACGGUGGAAAUAAAAAACAAUAAAGCACAACCAGGCACAUAAAAAAGUUUCAAAAGUUGAGGAUUUGCCAAGAAGAAGGAGCAUGUGCAUACUGUCCCCAAACGAUGAUGAAGAUACUGAGGGAGGAAAAGAAGAACCCAAGAUCACAAGUUUCAGAACAGCAUCAUUUUUUCUUGUUUCUUUGCAGGAUAUUAUGGUACAAAUAAAUGCUUUGGCCAAAAAAAA